AUACGGAGGGGGUUAGCGUUGUUCGGAAUUACUGGGCGUAAAGCGCACGUAGGCGGACUGGAAAGUUGGGGGUGAAAUCCCGGGGCUCAACCCCGGAACUGCCUCCAAAACUUCCAAUCUAGAGAUCGAGAGAGGUGAGUGGAAUUCCAAGUGUAGAGGUGAAAUUCGUAGAUAUUCGGAGGAACACCAGUGGCGAAGGCGGCUCACUGGCUCGAUACUGACGCUCAGGUGCGAAAGCUUGGGGAGCAAACAGGAUUAGAUACCCCAGUAGUCC
rnacentral:rRNA from 1 species